rnacentral:rRNA from 1 species
UUCGUCCUACGGGGGGCAGCAGUGGGGAAUAUUGCACAAUGGGGGGAACCCUGAUGCAGCGACGCCGCGUGAGUGAAGAAGUCAUUCGUGAUGUAAAGCUCUAUCAGCAGGGAAGAAAAUGACGGUACCUGACUAAGAAGCCCCGGCUAACUACGUGCCAGCAGCCGCGGUAAUACGUAGGGGGCAAGCGUUAUCCGGAUUUACUGGGUGUAAAGGGAGCGUAGACGGCAGCGCAAGUCCGAAGU